CCAGGUUGGUCGCAAGACUGCCUCCCCCUGCUUCCCGGAUGGAACCUACCCCUCAUUUCCAGAUUAUCAGGAUCUAUAGCUUUGUAAUAUCCAUGGACUAUUGGAUUAUACUUAUGCCUUUCAGAAGCAGGUUAGGAAGAGCAAAAGUGAGGGAGAGGAUUGCGAUUAUGUAUAAAACAGUUGUGAAUUUGAACUAGGGAGCAGGAGAAGAAGUUUGGAUAUUCCAGGACCCCAUAAAGGAAGAGCCAAUGAGAGGGUCUUGUCUAGGUGGAACAAUCUGGUCGGGGCCCUGGAGUUCGGCAACAGCUGACAUCAGCGGCAAAUGAGAUGAAAGGAAAUCAAUAGCACCAAGAACUGCCUCCAUCACAUGGAAACAGUGUCAUUGCCACUUUGAAGAGCUGAGGACAGAUGCUGGCAAGAAUACGAAGUGGCACCCUGUAGAGUCUAUUCUAGAUAUUUCUAUUAAGAAUUGGAAGAAUAAGACAGAUAGAGGCUCAUCUCUCUGGAAUGGUUC